UCGCCCAACAACAAAUGACAUAUGCGGGGCCCCUGAGCGAAAAGUAUCUUCCAGUACCGCCUUCCAGUUUUGAGAUACUAUUCGGGUUCCAAUGAGAACGGACUUCGGGCUUCGCGCGAGUCGUGCGCCGAUUCGUAUCGGCGGCUGCUGGCAGUCCGAUAUUAACUCUCAAACUGUACGGUUUGGCAGCGCAGCUGAGAAGCGGAAAACUGAAGUGGAAAAGCGGCGAAGAGGGGAUCGAGGAAGGGCAGCGCGUCGUGUGUUUUCAUCCUCCUAAACAAUUGUUGUUUCUACAAGUUUAAACAAUUAAAAUCUGUGUGUGUGGGCUAAAGUGCAAUACCCAAAUCGAACACUAAGGCAUUCCAAUUAAACUAACAAUCAAAGUGCAAUACAAAUAAAUCCAGCUAAAAAUCGGCGAGAAUAUUUACAGAAGCUGUGUUCAUAAAUAGAUUUGCCCAAACAACGCAAAACAAACCAAUAAAAGCAAAUCGAAUUAACUAUUUUGUCAGCCAGACCAUUAAAUACAUAUAACAACAACUACGAAUAAACUUAAUAAGCAUUUAAAAUAACAAUAACAAUUUUGUGCAAUUUAAUUAAAUUAAUAUAAUCGUAUACAAAAAUUAAAAGCCUUCAAAAGGUUUUACACAUUUUUGCUAAAUACUUUUGCGCUAAAUCAAAAAUAAAACUAAACACUUUAUAAACUACAAUUAGCUAAAUUGUUAUAAAAUAAAAUUUAUAGAAUUACAAUACAUUUUAAAAAGCGCCAAGGUUUUUUAAAAAUUAUUAAAUUGCUAUACAAAUAUAAAAACAACUUUAAAUGCAUAUUGCUGAGACGGAUUACGUUUAAAAUACUAGCUGCAGAUUUUUCAACUUUGUA